UUUCUGACAUAGUAACUUUUUAUUUUCCUGUCUAUUAGACUUUAUAAAAGGCUACUUCAUACAUGAUCUCAUUUGACGAUCAUAACAGAGCAGAUAAAAUUACAGCAUUCUCAUUUUGUAGCCUGAGCCUCCCAAAGGUUUGAUGGUUUGCCUAAGCACCUACAACUGGUUCGUUGUCGAAUAUGUUUUCUAAAUUACGUGAGAUAAUCUAUAUCUACACACAUUCAUAUACAGUUGAUUUUCAUUAUUCAUUGAGUUAAGUUCUAUAAAGUUGUCACAAACACUGAGUUAGCCAAUAGUGACCCAUUACCUCUAGGGGAAAUACAGGAUUAGGUUCCCAUGAGCCUCCCUUGACAACUUAUUUGCCAACCAGUCAGCACGUAACCUUGUUUCAUGUGUGUCUCCACUGAAAGAGACAUUACACACACACACAUAUUUGGUUUAUUAACAUGGAACAGCACUGUAGCUCAUGCCUGACUGAAGCUUCAUUAACACUAGACAGCACCUAUACGUGGAGACCCUUUUAAGUGGUGAAAUCACCCACAAAAAACCCACAAAAUAUGCAAAUGAUGUGUCACUGAACAGAUGAUGAGAAGGACACUUGUGUACAGUUUGGUGGCUGGCAUAUGAAGGCAGAGCAUCACCUUGUUCAGUUCCCUCUAGACAGACUCAGGACUUGCACUUUCUGUCACUCUGUCCACGUCCACAGAUGGCUACGGAAGCACCAUGAGUAUUGCUUGUAGGUGAAGUCGCAAAUCCCACAAGUAGCGAAGACCAGCUCCAUGUGUGGUAGGCACAUACGUACUGCUGAAAUGAAAUCUUGAACCACAAGGCUCUUGAGAGUCACUGUUUGAGAAGGCAAAAUGCACAAAUAAAGAAGUUCUGUAACUAUUUCCUAGCUGUAGAUGUCGCCAUCCUUUUAGCCCCUCCCCAUGUACAUGCAGCGGUCUUAGAGGAAGAACUGUCAGACCUCCAAAAGCAACCCGUCAUUCCCUACCUAGGGUUCCCUUGAUGCAGCAAUUGCUAAAGAAUGACAAUGACAAAUUUAGCUCCAUGUGGCCUCCAAGGAGCCCCAGUGCUAACUGUCUUCCCCUCUUGU